ensembl:lncRNA DCAF8-DT DCAF8 divergent transcript
AACAAUCAUGAGUCAGAAAUUCAAGCCACCAGAUGCUUUCCAACUAACAGGGACCAAAUGGGACCGUUCUAAGAUAUCCUAAAAGAUUUGGGAGUUAGAGGAGGUAAACUAAGAUAAUUAUAUUACAAAGGGUACAAGACCACAAGACAACAACCGACUCCGGAAUUCUUGGACCUCCGCCUUCCGUACAAGGCCCAGCCGCCCCGUCCACUGCCACCACCAACGCCGCCGCCAUCUUACACUGGCCAGCGGCCGCCACCACCACCGCCUCCGCUCUCUGCGCUUGCGCCUGCGCUGCCACGCUUUCCGGCCCCGUUUGCGACGAUGUGCUCGAGAAGACUGAGGGAAGAGUGGUCGCGCGAGCUCACGGCUCGCAACCCUCCUCGAAGGACGCACAAGGGGCGGGGCUUAAGGCCAACGGAAAACAGAGCGAGAGGCGCCUGCGCAUUACCGAAGAGGCAAAGUUGUUUUUGUAGUUUCUUCGGGCUUGCUUAUCUUGUGAUACUCUAAACAAAUGCGAGUUAGGGGCUACCCAGAGUUGUGAUAGAAAUAAACUAAAUUUCCAGCGGAUUGGCAGGCCACUUCCUGGAUGAUGGCCAGUUUUGCCGUUUUUGAACACUGGAACGAGCAAUGAUUGCCACAAGGAUUUCUUCUGAAAAUCCCCGUUUCCUUUCAGGGCUUUGUUUCCUUAAGUGGUUUCUAUACUAUCGAGGCCCAUUUUCCCCUGAGAGUCCCCAUUUACGUAUUUUUAAAGAAGGGGCUCAGUAGCUUGAGGUGUAGCUAUUCCAGAAGCUCUUUUCUGAAGAGAGGUGGUGUGGGUAAAGGUUCCCAAGAGUGGGCCGGGUGAUGUGGGGUGACUUUUGUACUCUGUUUCGUUAUGACACCUACAGUAACCCUGCAGAGGAUUACUCCCAGCUGCCAGGCUGGGGUAUUUUUUUUUUUUUUCUUACCAGAAGCCCAGGGUGCAAAAAUCUGACCCUUUCUCACCUCCCCUACCGCUACUCUCCUAUUCCAAGUCAUUACAUAUUACUUAAGACUACCGCAAUAGAAACUUACCUCGUUUGUCUACUUCCAUUAUUGCCAUUACAGUUAAACAUAAGGCAGCCAGAGUGCUUUUUAA